GUGAGGAAUAUUGGUCAAUGGACGUAAGUCUGAACCAGCCAAGUAGCGUGCAGGACGAAGGCCCUAUGGGUUGUAAACUGCUUUUAUGCGGGGGUAAAGUGAGUGACGUGUCAUUCAUUGCAAGUACCGCAAGAAUAAGGACCGGCUAAUUCCGUGCCAGCAGCCGCGGUAAUACGGAAGGUCCUGGUGUUAUCCGGAUUUAUUGGGUUUAAAGGGAGCGUAGGCCGUCAGGCAAGCGUGUUGUGAAAUGUCGUGGCUCAACCAUGGACUUGCAGCGCGAACUGCCCGACUUGAGUGCGCAGAAAGCAGGCGGAAUUUGUGGUGUAGCGGUGAAAUGCUUAGAUAUCACGAAGAACCCCGAUUGCGAAGGCAGCCUGCUGUAGCGCUACUGACGCUGAAGCUCGAAAGUGCGGGUAUCGAACAGGAUUAGAUACCCGAGUAGUCC
rnacentral:rRNA from 1 species